UGGUGCUAAAGCUCUUUUAGAAUUUACCUAGCAGGCCGUCUGGUCUCCACCUGAAGGACGUC
rnacentral:snRNA from 1 species